CCCCCCGCAGCGUCGGCCGCCUCCGAGAGUGCAGGGCAGUGCUCCGCACGCGAGCCCCUCCAGCAGCCGCCCCUGCGCGCGCUGAGCGCAGAGCCCGGGGCGCGCGUGGCGCCCCCUCCCAGCUGCAGAGCGACGAUGAGCCGCGGCGCGGGGGUCGUGGAGAGCAGUGAUGACCAUCACAAUGCCUCUUCAGAAGAAAAAGGCAUUCACCGACUGCUGGCUUGCAAGCUGGCCUCCCUACACGGAGGGCAGGGAGAGACUGAAGAAGGAGGCAAACCGCUCCAGCUUGGUAGGUGGCAGUUUU
ensembl:lncRNA